rnacentral:misc_RNA from 1 species
AAGGUGAAUGCGUAUUCGUCUUGAAUAUACAUAUACAAACCCACUCCGAGUACAUUACCUGUUGCUUCCGUGGAGCAGUGAUUCGUCACCUCUGACGAUGGCUUCGGCCAUCCGAGGGGAGCCUUCACGGGAGGUAUACAUUAAACUCUUGCAUUACCAUGUCUUCUGUCUGAAUCUGUUUAUAACAAUGUUA